rnacentral:snRNA from 1 species
GUCAUUUUUUCUUCAUCAUCACCA